UCGGCACUUAACUCGGUAGCAUAUUAAUAGUUGCUGAGAGUUCUUCACCAAGGCAGCAUAAUAGGUGAAAGUACGGAUCAAUUGAGAAGGAAAUUUUGUGAAAACUGCGCUUCUUGGUUUGGGGAAAGCUUCUAUUAUGAUCACAUAUGUGAAAAGUCCAGUUUGCAGAGAUUAAACGUGAAAGUCACUCCUAGAAUUGGUGAGAAGUUCUACUGUAACCACUGCAAGAAAAGUGAGCAAAAGUACCUUCUAUGAGCAUCAGACACUAUAUGGUGAUAUUGCAUGUGGAUUCUCUAGUCAAAAUGUGGAGCUUGAGUUAGACAUGGACUCUGAUUCAGAAAAUGAAGGUGCUCUUCCUUGUUGGGAUGAUGAAGACAGGCAGUUCUUCUCAGAAGGAGAUUCUAAUGGUGGUGAAAAUGAUGUAGAUGAUGAAAUGUUACCAGAGGAGUCCUCAGUGGAAAAACAUGAAAGCUCCAUGCAAUCAGAACAGCAACUCUUGGAGGAUGAUGUUGAGAACAAUACUCAGAGCUUUGAGUAUUCUCAUGAAAUGGAAAACAGUGCAAAAAAAAUGUGGUAAACAGAAGGAACCAAGAAGUGAUUGCACAGAACUGAGGGCUUUGCUUUUAUUCUUACUUCUGUGGCAGGCAAUGUUCAAAGUUGCAGACAGGGCUAUUGUUCUACUCUUAAAGUUUUUUAAGCUGUUCUUAUCUGGUAUUGGUAAGAUGAUGCAAGCAGAAGUUCUUAUUACCUUGCCAAGAUCAUCCCAGAAACAUUGUUCAUGAUUCAAAAAAACCUUGGCCUUCAGAAGAACAGUUUUAUUAAAAAUGCAGUUUGCUUUAAGUGUAAAACUCUCUCUAAUUUUGAUGAAUGUGUUUGCCAAAGGCCAAAUGGUGAGGUUGUAUCAGCAAAAUGCAGUCAUGUGAGUUAUCCACGCCACCCACACCAAGCCCAAAGGAGGCCAUGUGGUUCCGUUCUGAUGAAAGUUAUGAGGUCAAGAGUAGGAGAGACAUUCUUGUAUCCUAGGCAGGUUUACUGCUUUAAAAAGGUUACUGAUUCAUUACAAGACCUUAUUAACAAGCCAAACUUCAUGGAAAACUAUGAAAAGUGGAGAAAUUGUUCCACCCAGCUGUCAGACAAUGUUCUUGGAGACUGUUUUGAAGGAAGAGUUUGGAAAGAGUUUCAGUAUGUGGAUGGAGAGCCCUUUCUUGCUAUACCAAAUAACUUUGCUCUCAUGUUGAACAUUGACUGGCUUCAGCCCACUCUUCAUGGUUCAAAAUCCAUUUGUGUCAUUUACAUGGUUGUAAUGAACCUUCCAAAAAAGGAACACUUCAAACCUGAAAAUCUUAUUGUUGUUGGAAUAAUUCCUGGGCCAAAGGAUCCUAAGCAUUAUAUCAAUUCCUUCCUGCAGCCAUUAGUAGAUGACCUUAUUGACUUGUGUGAUGGAGUUAUCUUAGACACAAACAUUUCUGGAACUGGGGAGAUGUUCUGAGCUGCUAUCUUAGCUUUGUCAAGUGAUAUACCAGCAACUUUGAAAUGUGGAGGUUUUAUUGGCCAUACUGCAAAGAAAGGAUGCAGCAAAUGCUUUAAAAAAUUUCCAAGAGCAUCAUUUGGUGAUAAACCUGAUUUCUCAGGAUUUGAUAGAGAAAGCUGGGAACAGCAAUCUAAUGAAGACCAUCGAGCAUCUGCAGAGAAAGUUUGCCAAGCUAAAACACCAAGUGAUGCCCAGAAAUUUGCCUCUUCAAGUGGAGCACAUUACUCUGUCCUGUUCCAGCUUCCAUACUAUGAUGCUAUAAGAUUCGCACUGAUUGAUCCCAUGCAUAACUUGCCUCUUGGGAGUGCCAAACAUGUUCUUAAGAC